UAGCCAGACUAAAUGGUCAGGUAGUGUAUUAUCUGUGAAUGUAGCCAGGCUAAAUGGUCAGGUAAUGUGUUAUCUGUGAAUGUAGCCAGGCUAAAUGGUCAGGUAGUGUAUUAUCUGUGAAUGUAGCCAGGCUAAAUGGUCAGGUAGUGUAUUAUCUGUGAAUGUAGCCAGACUAAAUGGUCAGGUAGUGUAUUAUCUGUGAAUGUAGCCAGGCUAAAUGGUCAGGUAGUGCGUUAUCUGUGAAUGUAGCCAUUCUAAAUGGUCAGCAAGAAUGUCAUUUCCCAGUAGCCACCAAUGAUAAUGGCCUCUAUUUUGUUACUGCUAUAAAUUCGAUAGUUUUGCUGGUUAUAGUACAGAUUCAGUGGAAGGUGUACAUAAUGCCCAGUGUCACACUUCUAGGCUUAGCUCGAGUUGGUUAAAUGGAUUGCCUCAUGCAAAUACCAUACAAACGUGACCCAAAGCACACAAACUUUGUUCCACUUUUUUUGUUUAAACGCGUUCCCCUUAGACAUUCACAUUAAAUGCCUCUUUGCUUUUUCCCAACACUUAAUAUUUCCUACACUGUGAGGAUUUUGUUUUGGGUUAUGACCAUUACAAUAUCUGUGGGUUUGUGCAGGUAUAGGUAAAUCCCUAUAAGCUAAAACAGGGUUCACUCUUGUGUGCUAUAUGGAAAUCAUAUUCUGCCUUAUUCUGAUGCAUCAUAGUUACCAAUGAAACUGAAAAGCAGACAUGGCUAAUUACC
ensembl:lncRNA